GUUGAAACCUCUUGCAAUUUAGAUCUUAAGCGACUUUCUAAUGAUAGGAAUUGCAGAGGUGGAAAAUUUUGAAAUACAAAAGCUGAGUUGUUUUGGUUACAUUCUACUUUUAACUAAGACCAAAUUGAGAGACUGUUUUUAGAACUAUUUGCUUCUAUGAUGGACUCUGUUGUAUUAGUGUAAUUCCUUUUUAGCUUUGCCUUGCAAAUUGUUUUAUUGCUUCCUUAGGUGCUUUCAUAAUAUAUUCACAUUCACUUUUGAUUGGCUUUGUGCUUGUUGCUUAAGCUAAUGAUUGAG
rnacentral:misc_RNA from 1 species